rnacentral:rRNA from 1 species
AACGAACGCUGGCGGCAGGCCUAACACAUGCAAGUCGAGCGGGGACUUCGGUCCUAGCGGCGGACGGGUGAGUAACGCGUGGGAACGUGCCCUUUGCUUCGGAAUAGCCCUGGGAAACUGGGAGUAAUACCGGAUGAGCCCUUUGGGGGAAAGAUUUAUCGGCGAAGGAUCGGCCCGCGUUGGAUUAGGUAGUUGGUGGGGUAAUGGCCUACCAAGCCGACGAUCCAUAGCUGGUUUGAGAGGAUGAUCAGCCACACUGGGACUGAGACACGGCCCAGACUCCUACGGGAGGCAGCAGUGGGGAAUCUUAGACAAUGGGGGAAACCCUGAUCUAGCCAUGCCGCGUGAGCGAUGAAGGCCUUAGGGUUGUAAAGCUCUUUCAGCUGGGAAGAUAAUGACGGUACCAGCAGAAGAAGCCCCGGCUAACUCCGUG